rnacentral:sRNA from 2 species
AACUAGCCCUGAUUGCAGCGGCGUCCUUUUUGCCGACUGCUGAGUGAUUUGCUCCCAGAGCAAAUUGUAUUGGAGCACGGUAAAAAGAUACAGCGGUAAGCAGGUAACAGC